rnacentral:rRNA from 1 species
AGCAGUCGCCACGGUAAUACGUAGGGUGCGAGCGUUAAUCGGAAUUACUGGGUGUAAAGCGUGCGCAGGCGGUUGUGUAAGACAGGUGUGAAAUCCCCGGGCUUAACCUGAGAACUGCGCUUGUGACUGCACAGCUAGAGUAUGGCAGAGGGGGGUGGAAUUCCACGUGUAGCAGUGAAAUGCGUAGAGAUGUGGAGGAGCACCGAUGGCGAAGGCAGCCCCCUGGGCCAAUACUGACGCUCAUGCACGAAAGCGUGGGGAGCAAACAGGAUUAGAUACCCCUGUAGUCCCUGUCUCUUAUAA